rnacentral:rRNA from 1 species
AUGAACGCUGGCGGCGUGCCUAAUACAUGCCAGUCGAGCGAACAGACGAGGAGCUUGCUCCUCUGACGUUAGCGGCGGCCGGGUGAGUAACACGUGGAUAACCUACCUAUAAGACUGGGAUAACUUCGGGAAACCGGAGCUAAUACCGGAUAAUAUAUUGAACCGCAUGGUUCAAUAGUGAAAGACGGUUUUGCUGUCACUUAUAGAUGGAUCCGCGCCGCAUUAGCUAGUUGGUAAGGUAACGGCUUACCAAGGCAACGAUGCGUAGCCGACCUGAGAGGGUGAUCGGCCACACUGGAACUGAGACACGGUCCAGACUCCUACGGGAGGCAGCAGUAGGGAAUCUUCCGCAAUGGGCGAAAGCCUGACGGAGCAACGCCGCGUGAGUGAUGAAGGUCUUCGGAUCGUAAAACUCUGUUAUUAGGGAAGAACAAAUGUGUAAGUAACUAUGCACGUCUUGACGGUACCUAAUCAGAAAGCCACGGCUAACUACGUG